rnacentral:rRNA from 1 species
UACGAAGGGGGCGAGCGUUUAUUCGGAAUCACUGGGCGUAAAGCGUGCGUAGGCCGUCUAGCAAGUUGGAAGUGAAAGCCCAGGGCUCAACCCUGGAAUUGCUUUCAAAACUGCAAGACUAGAAUCUCGGAGAGGAUAGCGGAAUUCCCAGUGUAGUAGUGAAAUACGUAGAUAUUGGGAGGAACACCAGUGGCGCAAGCGGCUAUCUGGACGAGUAUUGACGCUGAGGCACGAAAGCGUGGGGAUCAAACAGG